GACGAACGCUGGCGGCAUGCCUAAUACAUGCAAGUCGAGCGAACAGAUGAAGUGCUUGCACUUCUGACGUUAGCGGCGAACGGGUGAGUAACACGUAAGGAAUCUACCUAUAAGCGGGGGAUAACAUUCGGAAACGGGUGCUAAUACCGCAUAAUAUCUUCUUCCGCAUGGAAGAAGAUUGAAAGACGGCUCUGCUGUCACUUAUAGAUGACCUUGCGGUGCAUUAGUUAGUUGGUGGGGUAACGGCCUACCAAGACGAUGAUGCAUAGCCGACCUGAGAGGGUGAUCGGCCACAUGGGGACUGAGACACGGCCCAAACUCCUACGGGAGGCAGCAGUAGGGAAUCUGCCGCAAUGGGCGAAAGCCUGACGGAGCAAUGCAGCGUGAGUGAAGAAGGCCUUCGGGUCGUAAAACUCUGUUAUAAGAGAAGAACAAAUUGUAGAGUAACUGCUACAGUCUUAACGGUAUCUUAUCAGAAAGCCACGGCUAACUACGUGCCAGCAGCCGCCGUAA
rnacentral:rRNA from 1 species